rnacentral:misc_RNA from 1 species
GUGAACGCCUCACGGGCUUAUACUAUUCCAAACCUCUGUGAACCGUGCCCUUCGGGGCUAUUUUACAAACAUGGUGUAAUGAACGUCAUAUAUCAUAACAAAAC